CCUACGGGAGGCAGCAGUGAGGAAUAUUGGUCAAUGGGCGUAAGCCUGAACCAGCCAAGUCGCGUGAGGGAUGAAGGUUCUAUGGAUCGUAAACCUCUUUUAUAAGGGAAUAAAGUGUGGGACGUGUCCUAUUUUGUAUGUACCUUAUGAAUAAGGAUCGGCUAACUCCGUGCCAGCAGCCGCGGUAAUACGGAGGAUGCGAGCGUUAUCCGGAUUUAUUGGGUUUAAAGGGUGCGUAGGCGGAAUAUCAAGUCAGCGGUAAAAAUUCGGGGCUCAACCCCGUCGUGCCGUUGAAACUGAUGGUCUUGAGUGGGCGAGAAGUAUGCGGAAUGCGUGGUGUAGCGGUGAAAUGCAUAGAUAUCACGCAGAACUCCGAUUGCGAAGGCAGCAUACCGGCGCCCAACUGACGCUGAAGCACGAAAGCGUGGGUAUCGAACAGGAUUAGAUACCCCAGUAGUC
rnacentral:rRNA from 1 species